rnacentral:rRNA from 1 species
GAUCGCCACGACCGCGACCCCAGGUCAGGC